AUGGCGUCGGCGUCGUCGCCGUCGUGGAUCAUCCUGGGCAGCGUGGCGCGGGUGUCCGGCACGGACGCCGCGGCCGAGGACCUCCCGCCGGGCGCCGACCUCGCGCUCGCCCUCGCCGCGCCCCCGCGCGUCACCCUGCUCACCGUGCCCCUGCGCGUCUCGCCCGGCCCGGACGAGUACCCCAUGGUCCUCGCCGUCGACCCCUCCGGCCUCCUCCUCCUCUCCACGCCCCCGGCCCCGAGCCCUCCCCCGUCGCCGCCCUCCAGCCCCGACGCGGACGGUUUCGUCACGCUCAACAUCACCGACCGCACGCCCCCCGGCUACUACGUCUGCGACGCCUCCUCCGCCGCCGCCACCCGCCUCCCCGACCACGGCUUCGGCUUCCUCGACGCCCGCUCCGCCGGCCUCCUCGCGUCCCCGGCGGGCGGCGGCCACUACAUGGUCGUCGAGCUCCAGCCGCUCAUCGGCAGCGACGAGGCCACGCUGCUCUGCUUCUCGUCCGUGACGGGGCGGUGGAAGGAGAAGGACGUGUUCUACCCCGUGCGCUACGGGAUCUGGAACACCGACGCCGCGAUCACCAACGCCGGGAAGCUCUGCUGGGUGGACCUCUCCUCCGGCAUCCUCUCCUGCGACCCGUUCGCCAAGAAGCCGGUCCUGGACUUCGUCGAGCUCCCGGAGGGCAGGCUGCGGCAGAACAUCCACUGCCUCCACUGCGCCGGGAGAGAGCUGAGCACGCGCCGCUGCGUGCAGGUCAGCGCUGGCAUGUUCCGCCUGGUGGAGCUGACCUGCGGCGACCACAGCUCUCGGCCCAGGGGCGUCGUGCUCGCCUCUUGGAUGAGGCUCCAGCAGGCGCAGUCCCGGAGCCACCGCAAAGCACCUCGGGUGGUCAUGUGGACGCUGGCCGAUCCGGGUACCGGGGAGUGGAAGGUGGAGCACAGGGUGAACUUCGCGGAUGUCUGGGCGGAUGAGAGCUACAAGGCCACCGGGGUGCCCAAGAAAACACCUGUGCUCGCGCUCGUCCACCCCAAGAACCCAGAUGUGGUGUACUUCUUCCUGGGCAAGAACCUCUUCGGCAUCAACCUGCGCACGAGGAAGGUGGUGGAGUGUGAGGUCUACGAGCUGGUCGGACCGAGCAGGAAACAUGUCUCCUCCCGCUGCCUUCACUCAUGGGAGCUGCCGGCAACGCUUUGUGCAGGUGUUCCUGGUCAGACCGACAGUCGCGUGAACGAAGGCUCUGCUUCUGUGGCUUCUAUUGAGAGGGGCCGAGAUUGA
rnacentral:rRNA from 1 species